UACGGGAGGCAGCAGUGAGGAAUAUUGCCCAAUGGACGAAAGUCUGAGGCAGCAACGCCGCGUGAGCGAUGAAGGCCUUCGGGUUGUAAAGCUCUUUUCUGGGGGACGAGGAAGGACGGUACCUCAGGAAUAAGUCACGGCUAACUACGUGCCAGCAGCCGCGGUAAU
rnacentral:rRNA from 1 species